AGUAAAUAGAUACCCCGGUAGUCCACGCCGUAAACGAUGAGUACUAGGUGUAGGAGGUAUCGACUCCUUCUGUGCCGCAGUUAAACACAAUAAGUACUCCGCCUGGGAAGUACGGUCGCAAGAUUAAAACUCAAAGGAAUUGACGGGGGCCCGCACAAGCAGCGGAGCAUGUGGUUUAAAUUCGAAGCAACGCGAAGAACCUUACCUAGACUUGACAUCUCCUGAAUAGUGUAGAGAUACAUGAAGCCCUUCGGGGCAGGAAGACAGGUGGUGCAUGGUUGUCGUCAGCUCGUGUCGUGAGAUGUUGGGUUAAGUCCCGCAACGAGCGCAACCCUUAUUACUAGUUGCUACCAUUAAGUUGAGCACUCUAGUGAGACUGCCCGGGUUAACCGGGAGGAAGGCGGGGAUGACGUCAAAUCAUCAUGCCCCUUAUGUCUAGGGCAACACACGUGCUACAAUGGUGAGUACAGGUAGAUGCGAUACCGCAAGGUGGAGCCAAACUCUAAAACUCAUCCCAGUUCGGAUUGUAGGCUGCAAC
rnacentral:rRNA from 1 species